AGGACAGUGGUUCUCAACAUCAGCUGCCCAUUGGAAUUACAUGGAGGUGGAUCCUAAAACUCCAAUCCCUCAGAAAUCCUAUUUCCACCUGCUAACCGAAGAUGAUUCUAAAGCUUGUAAACCCCAUCGUAGCUCAUUAUUUGAGAUAUUCCAGAGACAAAUAUGCCACCUCCUUGGAAAAACACACAUAAUGGUAUGGGAUAAACCGAGAAUAAAAUGUCAUUGUUGCUGUUGUA